UGGCUGGUCACUUGACAGCUAGACCUUGUAGCAAGAUGACCUGCAUUUAUAGGUGUGGUGAAGUCACUGAGCCGAACACUUUCUUCAGCGUUGAAGCUCGGACCCAUUGUGUACACGUUUGGUGGAACCAUAUGGUUGAAGAAAAAAAUUUAUUAACCUUCAUUUCCAACGUUCGCAAAACAAUGUCAAGUGAGCUGAGAGUUUUGUAAAUGUGCGCUCUGUGUCCCCGCAAUUAGCUAAUUUAAGUCAUCGGCAUACAGAACUGUCAACUCUGCGGUGAUCCUGCAAAAGGCACGUGCGUCUGCCUGAUAGAAUCUUCCAAAGCCUUCUAGCUGUAUUUUGGAACCUUACACAGGCGCACACACAGGCACUGACGCGCUCAAACGAACACGCAGCGCACAUUAUAUGGCGAAAAUGGAACAUGCUUUUAUUACGAUUUUCAAAGCAUUUUAUGUACAUAUCAGAUUUGAGCAUAUUUAAGUACUUAAAACAUUGCGGUCAAUCAUGUUCCAUUUUAAGAUAUACUCAGUAAUUGAGCAUUUUUAUUUUCAAAUUAUACCUUAAUUGGGACAAGCUGGAUGUAUCCGAUUCUAUUUGCAACCCAUUCAGCCUUUAAUUUAAUUUUUUUUUUGUGCAAUGGUGUUAUUACUUACAGGUUUAAAAUGUUACUAUGAAUUUUCAAACUUAAAGGUAAAAGUGCGAUUUUCACAAUGUUGCAGAUUAAGGUUAGGGUAAUUAAUUAAUUUACUUUCUUACAUUAAUUUAAUUUACAUUGUAGUAGUCAUUUCUAUUUUCAACAUUUGUAAGUGUUAUUAUUAAUGCAUCUGAUCCUGUAAAUGGCGAGUAAUUUAUAAAUGUUGUUUGUAUUCGAUCUAAAAGACAGAAGCCAAAGUAAUAUUCAUUAAAAUGUUCUUUAUCUAAAAUAUAUUUUGCACCUUCAAAUCUAAGUAAAAAGAAAAAUUGUAAUAAUAUUUGUUGAAAUUGACCCAAAUUGUCACAAAAUAUGCAUAAAUUUUGGAUCUGCAAAUUUUAAGAUGUAUCUUGUCUGUUCAAGUUAAAAAAAAAAAAAGCAUAUCGCCUCUUGGCCUAUAAUGUAUACCACACUACAUUUGGUAUCAAUCAUACUUUCAAACGUCCAUGGAAAAACUGACAUAUUUUCCUUUACCCAAAUUUUUUUAAUCAGCUCGACACCAUUUUAAAUAUAGGUUUUUAUAAGUAAAAAGCAUGAAUGCUGGUAUUCAAAUCCCAGUGCAAAAAAGGAAGUAUUGGGAGCAAGUUCUGAUGCAAACCUUAACCACGCUCCCCAAAUUCAUAUUAUUUUUACUAUCUGUCAAUUUAUGCAUAUCUUUAUUUUUAUUCUAAUCUUUCACCAUUAUUUUCUGUCGCAAUAAACGAAUAUCACAUU